GGUACUGCAGUCUCAGACCUGAAUGCCAAAGAGGAGCCAGGAGGACAGAGGUAUUGGACUGAACCACUCUUCCUUCAGCAAGCGACACAGUGUCAUAGAACAAGAAUGCUGCAGCAGGUAGACACCGAGCAUGAGCAGGACCCCACAAUGGAGAGUAAAGUACCGGCCCUUCUUCAGACUGACUCCUUCAACCUCCCCAGCUCCACCUUGACUCUUUUUAAGGGCAGAAACAAUUACCUGACCCAUCAGGUAAGUGCCAUCAAUGUCCCUUGUAUAACUGGAUAAAAUCAUUUAAAUUUUU